GCGCCUGUAGCUCAGCUGGAUAGAGUACUGCCCUCCGAAGGCAGGGGUCGUGCGUUCGAAUCGCGCCAGGCGCGCCA
rnacentral:tRNA from 3 species